GAAAUAAUAAGCACACUAUGGUACUUACUGUGUGCCAGACACUGUUCUAAAUGCUUUGUUCUAAAUGCUUUAUAGACAUGAACUCAUUCAAUCCCUGUAACAACUCUGUAAGUUCUAAAAUGGACACGGCCACCAGAGAGAGAGCAAGAAGCCUAGAGGCCCCCAAAGAGAACUACGGAGAAGCUAUUUGAGAUAACGAUGGUGCCUCCCAGAAAGCCAUCAGCCUAAAAGAUCAUUGAGUCAGGGGCAAUUCUAGGAUUAGAAUUCAUGAAGGUAGAAGAAGAUGGCUGAAGUGUUCAGAAGAAGUACAUUUCCUGAUAGCAAUUCAAUUAUUCGGAGGAAAAUGGAAAGUCCUGGAAACAACUGUCUUCUACUAGCAAGACAGGUCAGCAGCCUCAGCUGGGAAUUAUCUACACAAAUGAUAGGGGUGUGAAGAGGGGACGCUCUACUUGGUGUUCUGCAACCAAGAACAUGUGGAGAACAGGGGUGACAAGGAGCCAAAGAGCGCAGUUUGGUUUCUCACUUGAAAUGCUGAGCCACCUGGAGCAAAGAAAUGGACUGUCUCAGCAAUGCUAUGGGAAGGUUAUCCCACGCUCAGGCUUUCUAUCUGCGAGCAUCAUUAAAGCAAGGGAGUGAUGCGCCAGGCACAAAAUUAUCCUUCACAAAUAAAA
ensembl:lncRNA